ensembl:lncRNA
CCUCUGCCUUGUGGGAUCCAAAAACAAAGUUCUGUGAGUUUGCUUCAUUUUUCCUGCUCUGGUCUCUGUAGUUACUGUCGCCAACCCCUUGCCUCCUGGACAGAUCUCCCGUCUCCUGAGAGGUCCCCACCAGAACGUCUUUAUAUGACAACUGCCCUACUGAUUGACUUGGACCUGAGGCAGGUUCUGUUCUGUUCUGAUCUUUUCUCUUAGAUGUCUUCUCAGGCACCUCCUGUGUUACUGAGGGAGCUGGACUAGUAGAUUGUUUUUGACUAGUGUUUGGCUCAUCUGUUGGGUCAGAACCCCUCUGAUCACCAAGGGAUACUUGGGAUUGGUCAACACACUUCUUUGAGUUUGCUUCAUUUGUUAUAUUCUCGUCGGUCUGGUUACUAGAGGUCUUCAGUUCAUUCAGAACUCUAACCUCUGUGUUGCCUUCACCAUCAAGGCUUUUUGAUGGCUCCGUUGACCCGUGUGACGUCCCCUUCAGGUCUUCCUCAUCCAAGAGUUUACUGGCUGGUUGAGUUGGGUCUGAGGCACGUCCUCCUGUGUUCUGAUCAGCUGUCUCGGGUGUGGAUGAGGCCUGUGUGACUGAUGUAGGACUAGGUUGGUUUGGCUCAUUCACUGGUGCGUCUACGUUUGCCUUCGAUGGACCCUUGGCCUGGUCUUCUGGCAGUGUCUGGUGUGGGGAUGGGUUUGGAGAGGCUAUAGGUAUGGUUGGAGGGCCAGUAGGUGUGGCGGUGAUGACAGGAGGGCCAGUAGGUGUGGCAAUGUUGACAGGAGGGCCAGUAGGUGUGGUGGUGUUGACAGGAGGGCCAGUAGGUGUGGCGGUGUUGACAGGAGGGCCAGUAGGUGUGGCGGUGUUGACAGGAGGGCCAGUAGGUGUGGCAGUGUUGACAGGAGGGCCAGUACGUGUAGUGGUGUUGACAGGAGGGUCAUCCACCACUGAAGUAGAGCUCUCACUGACAGACAACUCAUCUUUCUCUUGACGUGUGUCAGUGCUCAGCUCAAUAGCGCUGGAAGAGCCUCCACUCUAUGAACAAUGUAUACAAAAAUGAGGCCUUUUAACACAUAAAUCAUUAAGGAUCAGCAUUUCUGAUUCAUAAGCCCUGCCCAUUAAAGCGUUCCCAUUCCAUGCUAAUUUCACUGGGUUCCCUUGACUUAAAACCCACGUCUGGUCACAUCCUAACGUCACAAAUUGAAAGUGUGACUGGUUCUGUUUAAACAAAUAUAUAAUUGUAAAUCUCUUAUC